CUACGGGAGGCAGCAGUAGGGAAUAUUGGGCAAUGGACGAAAGCCUGAACCAGCCAUGCCGCGUGCAGAAUGACUGCCCUACGGGUUGUAAACUGCUUUUGUACGGGAAGAAAACUAUUUACAUGUAAGUAAUUGCCGGUACCGUACGAAUAAGCAUCGGCUAACUCCGUGCCAGCAGCCGCGGUAAUACGGAGGAUGCGAGCGUUAUCCGGAUUUAUUGGGUUUAAAGGGUGCGUAGGCGGGAUAAUCAGUCAGUGGUGAAAGUUUGCAGCUCAACUGCAAAAUUGCCAUUGAUACUGUUAUUCUUGAGCCCAGUUGAGGUAGGCGGAAUGUGGUGUGUAGCGGUGAAAUGCAUAGAUAUACCACAGAACACCGAUUGCGAAGGCAGCUUACUAAACUGUCACUGACGCUGAUGCAUGAAAGCGUGGGUAUCAAACAGGAUUAGAUACCCUGGUAGUCCACGUUGUAAACGAUGAUCACUCGUUGUUUGCGAUACACUGCAAGUGACCAAGAGAAAUCGAUAAGUGAUCCACCUGGGGAGUACGGCG
rnacentral:rRNA from 1 species